rnacentral:rRNA from 1 species
AACGAACGCUGGCGGCAGGCUUAACACAUGCAAGUCGAGCGCCCCGCAAGGGGAGCGGCAGACGGGUGAGUAACGCGUGGGAAUCUACCCAUCUCUACUGGAUAACGCAUGGAAACGUGUGCUAAUACCGUAUACGUCCUUCGGGAGAAAGAUUUAUCGGAGAUGGAUGAGCCCGCGAUGGAUUAGCUAGUUGGUGGGUAAAGGCCUACCAAGGCGACGACCCAUAGCUGGUCUGAGAGGAUAAUCAGCCACACUGGGACUGAGACACGGCCCAGACUCCUACGGGAGGCAGCAGUGGGGAAUAUUGGACAAUGGGCGCAAGCCUGAUCCAGCCAUGCCGCGUGAGUGAUGAAGGCCCUAGGGUUGUAAAGCUCUUUCACCGGUGAAGAUAAUGACGGUAACCGGAGAAGAAGCCCCGGCUAACUUCGUGCCAGCCGCCGCAGUAACAC